rnacentral:rRNA from 1 species
GGGAGCUCUCCCAUAUGGUCGACCUGCAGGCGGCCGCGAAUUCACUAGUGAUUAGAGUUUGAUCAUGGCUCAGAACGAACGCUGGCGGCAUGCCUAACACAUGCAAGUCGAACGAUGCUUUCGGGCAUAGUGGCGCACGGGUGCGUAACGCGUGGGAAUCUGCCCUUAGGUUCGGAAUAACAGUUAGAAAUGACUGCUAAUACCGGAUGAUGUCUUCGGACCAAAGAUUUAUCGGCCAGGGAUGAGCCCGCGUAGGAUUAGGUAGUUGGUGGGGUAAAGGCCUACCAAGCCGACGAUCCUUAGCUGGUCUGAGAGGAUGAUCAGCCACACUGGGACUGAGACACGGCCCAGACUCCUACGGGAGGCAGCAGUGGGGAAUAUUGGACAAUGGGCGCAAGCCUGAUCCAGCAAUGCCGCGUGAGUGAUGAAUCGAAUUCCCGCGGCCGCCAUGGCGGCCGGGAGCAUGCGACGUCG